rnacentral:rRNA from 1 species
GACGAACCGUGCGAACGUUAUUCGGAAUCACUGGGCUUAAAGCGCGUGUAGGCGGGGCGGCACGUCGGUCGCUGAAAGCCCCCGGCUCAACCGGGGAACGGGCGCCGAUACGACCGCCCUCGAGGGACGUAGGGGGACCUGGAACUUCCGGUGGAGCGGUGAAAUGCGUUGAGAUCGGAAGGAACGCCCGUGGCGAAAGCGAGGUCCUGGACGGCUGCUGACGCUGAGACGCGAAAGCCAGGGGAGCGAACGGG